rnacentral:rRNA from 1 species
CGUAGGGAAACCGAGUCUUAAAAGGGCGCCGAGUCGCAGGGGGUAGACGCGAAACCGGUUGAUCUACCCAUGGGCAGGUUGAAGGGAGGGUAAUGCCUCCUGGAGGACCGAAGCCGUGAACGUUGAAAAGUUCUGGCAUGACCUGUGGGGAGGAGUUAAAGUCUAAUCAUAACCGGAGAUAUCUCGUUCUCCUCGAAAUAGUUUUUGGACUAGCCUCACGAUUCAUCAUGCGGGGGUAGAGCUACUGGAUGGGACAGGAGGGCCACAAGCCUAUCCGUUCCAACCAAACUCCGAAUACCGUAUGAGCGGCCGUGGGAGUAAGUGUAUGGGGGAUAAUCUCCGUGCACAAAAGGGAAACAGCCCGGACCACCGGCUAAGGCCCCUAAACAAGUCUAAGUUAGAAAGGUAGUCAGAUUGCUGUGACAGCCAGGAUGUUGGCUUAGAAGCAGCCACCAUUUAAAAAGUGCGUAACAGCUUACUGGUCGAGGAAUCUGGCGCCGAUAAUUAUCGGGAAUAAGACUUGUGCCGAAGCCGUGGACUGCAUUUGCAGUGGUAGAGGAGCGUUGCUGUCAGCGUUGAAGCUUUCCCGGUAAGGGUUGGUGGAGCGGCAGCAAGUGAAUAUGCCAGCUUGAGUAACGAUUAAUGGAGUGAGAAUCUCCAUCGCCGAAUGCCCAAGGUUUCCUGGGGAAGGUAAUUCCGCCCAGGGUUAGGCGGAUCCUAAGGUGAGGCUGAAAAGCGUAGUCGAUGGACAGCCGGUCAAUAUUCCGGCCCUCUCGUGUGCGGUUGAACCACCGUGACGGAUUCCAAAGGUUUGCGGGACAGUGAAGCGUCCAGGCCCUUGAGGCCGAAGCAAGCUGGCGGAGUUCCAAGAAAAGACGGCUGGGGACAAGCACGAGAUCCGUACCAAAACUGACACAGGUGGGCGUGGUGAAUAACCUCAGGCGCUCGAGAAAACGGUCGUGAAGGAACUAGGCAAUUUGACCCCGUACGUUCGCAACAAGGGGGCCCUACUCGCAAGAGAGGGCGCAGAGAAAAGGCUCUGGGAACUGUUUAUCAAAAACACAGCACUGUGCCAACUCGGAAGAGGACGUAUACAGUGUGACGCUUGCCCAAUGCUGGAAUGUCACGGAAGGGGGUCAGCGAAAGCGAAGCUCCCGACCCAAGCACCAGUCAAUGGCGGCCGUAACUAUGACGGUCCUAAGGUAGCGAAGUUCCUUGUCGGGUAAGUUCCGACGCGCAUGAAUAGCGUAACGACUGGAGCACUGUCUCCACGACCGACUCGGUGAAAUAGUAGUGGCAGUGAAGAUGCUGCCUACCCGCGGCAAGACGGAAAGACCCCGUGCACCUUUACUGCAGGCUUCCGCUGGCCAUGAGCAUAUGUUGCGUAGGAUAGGUGGGAGGCUUCGAAGCCCCGGUUCCGGCCGGGGAUGAGCCGUCGUUGAAAUACCACCCUUCAUACGCCCGUGGCCUAACCUCGAUUCCCGUGAAUCCGGGCGAGGGACACCGGGUGCUAGGCAGUUUGACUGGGGCGGUCUCCUCCUAAAGUGUAACGGAGGAGCGCAAAGGUCGGCUCAGCACGGAUGGAAACCGUGCCAUGAGUGCAAGAGCAUAAGCCGGCUUUACUGCAAGACCGACGGGUCGAGCAGUCUCGAAAGAGGGCUCUAGUGAUCCUGCGAUUCUGAGUGGAAGGGUCGUAGCUCAUCGGACAAAAGGUACGCCGGGGAUAACAGGCUGAUCGCGCCCGAGCGUCCAUAGCGGCGGCGCGGUUUGGCACCUCGAUGUCGGCCCAUCACAUCCUGGGGCUGAAGGCGGUCCCAAGGGUUCGGCUGUUCGCCGAUUAAAGCGGUACGUGAGCUGGGUUUAGACCGUCGUGAGACAGGUCGGUCCCUAUCUGGCGUGGGUGCAGGACGAUUGAGGAGGCCUCUCUUUAGUACGAGAGGAUUAAGAGGGACGGACCUCUGGUGUUCCAGUUGUCGCGCUAGCGGCAGUGCUGGGUAGCUAUGUCCGGAACGGAUAAGCGCUGAAAGCAUCUAAGCGCGAAGCCAUCUCCAAGACUGGUCGUCCCCAUCAGGGCCCUAGAAGACUACUAGGUUGAUAGGCCGGGCGUGGAAGUGCAGCGAUGCAUGGAGCGAACCGGUACUAAUUGCCCGAUUGGCUUGGCCAC